UAUCUGAUGGUGUUUUCUCUCUUGGGUGU
rnacentral:piRNA from 1 species